AUAAGGUUGAGGAAGCAGAGGUGGCCCCUCUGCUCUGUGUGUGGGUCUGUGUACUCCUUUCCCGUCAGAGCUGGCCCAGCACAGCCAAAAAAGCGGUUCCUUGGCAGGGCUUAAUGGCAGGAUGAUGUAGUCUGUUGUGACUAGUGCAUUCCUUUCAGUCCAGACAAUUAACAGCUGAAGAAAAUAUGACAAGACACACGCAAAGAGGUUGGGAGACGGGGGGAAGAAAUGCGCCAGAAAGGAGCUGAGUUGCCUUCUUGUGUAAACUGCCAGAUCUCCUCUUCCCUCCUCUCCCCCUCCCUCCUCACUACUCUGCUCCAGAACUGUUUCCCCGACCCCCCCCUUUCUGUCUGCUGAAGGCCAGGAGUGAUCUGUUAACUGUACACCACUGACUGGGAGGCCAAAGCAGCUCAUGGUGCUUAAUGUUAGGCACCCAAAAGUGAAAAAGUUGUGGCCAUAAUGCUGGUGUGUGCAUGGGCAUGCACAACACCUCCCUGCCCCCCACACCCAGUGAAUCACGUUCUUCAUUUGAUUGCACUCUUGCAACUUCACUGAAGUCAAAGGAGUUACACUGGUAUUCUGUUUAUUGACUAAACCACAAGGAUCCCUGCCCAAAGUACCAGGCGGUCUACGCUUGAAUGAUUUUGAUUUUCUAACAUCAGCCCUGGGGUUUAUUUGAAAAAUAGCCAAAAAGUUUCCUGCCGUUCUUUCCAGCUAUUGACAAAUGAUUGCCAGAUGUGAGAUCUUUGCAGUGCUCUUUCCCCUUCGCAAACCUGCAGCGAUGGGAUAUUCGAUUCUCCCUUGCCCAUUUCAUCUCCUUUCCACAUCUGCCAGGGACACACAGGCAAUACAUCCCUACAUGAGAGUUUAAAGUUUAUUCAGCUCCUUCUCCGUCCUCCCUACCCCCACCUCCAUGUGGUAGCAGCAGCAAAGGAUGAGGUGGCAAAAUGCUUUUGAGCAACAGAAAUGACAGUAUCCGGAUCACCAGUAUACAUAGCAUACACCAGUGUAAUCCUUUCCAGUUACUGGUUGCAUUUACUUUUUCUUUCCUCUUGUUGCAUGCCCUGCAGACAGAGCAAUCGUCUGGUUUAGUAGCAAAAUCUCAUUAAAUGAAAGUUUGUAUAUAAAAAUAAAAUACUGAUGACUAUAGCACUGGCACUGUUUAAAAAAAUUGCAUUAAUAUAUAACUUAUGCAUCAGGCGCCCCUUCCUACCUGAUCACAAGAAGUCCUUUUGGAGCUGUGCAGUGAUUAACAUAAAAUUUAGGACAGCAACCGGGCAUUUUCAUGUCAAUGUGAAGCUGUAGCACUCU